rnacentral:rRNA from 1 species
AUUGAACGCUGGCGGCAGGCCUAACACAUGCAAGUCGAGCGGAUGAUGGAAGCUUGCUCCUUGAUUCAGCGGCGGACGGGUGAGUAAUGCCUAGGAAUCUGCCUGGUAGUGGGGGACAACGUUUCGAAAGGAACGCUAAUACCGCAUACGUCCUACGGGAGAAAGCAGGGGACCUUCGGGCCUUGCGCUAUCAGAUGAGCCUAGGUCGGAUUAGCUUGUUGGUGAGGUAAUGGCUCACCAAGGCGACGAUCCGUAACUGGUCUGAGAGGAUGAUCAGUCACACUGGAACUGAGACACGGUCCAGACUCCUACGGGAGGCAGCAGUGGGGAAUAUUGGACAAUGGGCGAAAGCCUGAUUCAGCCAUGCCGCGUGUGUGAAGAAGGUCUUCGGAUUGUAAAGCACUUUAAGUUGGGAGGAAGGGUUGUAGAUUAAUACUCUGCAAUUUUGACGUUACCGACAGAAUAAGCACCGGCUAACUCUGUGCCAGCCGCCGCCGUAAAAC